UAAAAAUAAAAAUAGACCCAAUUACUCAAUCCAAUGGAUUGAAGAUGCAAAACCCGCUUGACUUGCUGGUUUUAUUCAAUUCACAAAUCACAGAGAUGCCCUCGGCACUUAAAACCCAUAAUUAAACAAUUCCAUCCAAUUCCAAUUUCCAAACCCAAUUCUCUGUUGCUAGCACACAUGCUAAGCCACUGUGGAGUCGUUGAAGUUGAGCCAUCGGCCACUGCAUCGCCGGUAACUGAUUCCAUUCGUAAUAGCGGGACGUGAGCGUCGACUGGUCAACGAUCACCUACCGCUUUCUUGUAUCCGCAACUGAAUGGAAAGGAAUGGCAGCUACCACUUCUUUGCAUCUGUGGCUCUAAAAUUUUUAUGAGUGGAAUCAUCUUGUUAUCUCCAUAGCCAAUGUUGUUUGUAGGAGCAGCAGAGAGAUUCAUUGUCAGCUUGGAAUGGAACUUAUUUAAGAGAAACGUCGUGUUAUUAUAUGUAUACAACUAACAUUGGUAAAUGAUUAAUUGGUCUACAAUUAAAAAUAUUUACUUAUUCAGAUGAAGCAAUAAAUAUUUUAGUGUACUA